AAAGAGACUCACUGAGUGAACUCGAGCAUCGCCGCUCGCUAUAUCGGAGAAGAGAGAUACGACUCUGUUUCUCAAUUCUCAUGGAGGAUGUUUCUAAUGGCGGAGAUUUCAGAUAGAGUAGAGCCACGACUGGAACCAUGAACCGGAGAUGAGACUUAAAGUGAGAAUUGUCUCCGAUGGAAUAAGAGAUGGUUGCAGUCUUCGGGAGCUGGUCGACAGAUUUCAAGAGUUGAAAAUUGCUCAAUACGUGUUUUCUCUCUCGAAUUUUCCUGGAAAAGUUUGAGUCUUUUUUUAGCUCUUGUCUCCUUUUGUAACUGUAGUCUUCAAACUUUGAGUUGUAAUGUUAAUUCAUCUUUUCUCAAAGUUAUAUUCUUUUGAAAACUACGAGCUUUCUAUUGUUGUGUUAUCCCUUACUUUACAAUUGUAAGUUCCAAUUUUGAUUAUUUUCCUCCUUGGUUUGUAGUCUUGUUAGCUUGGAAUAAUACAUUUUGACUAUCAGUUGGAUUCCAAUCUUGGAGUUGUUCUUAAAGGAGGGGUGUCUUGUUUUAGUGAGAACAGAUUGGUGGUGAUCUUAGACAAUUCCACUAGUCAAUAGGGUUGGUAUUGCAGUUAAAAUGAUGACAAUGUUUCUUCUGGGAGUGAUCUUUGGAUCAACUCCAAUGUUUGUUCAUGUGUUUAAUGAGUUUGGGAUGAGUUUUCUGAAUGAUCUUAGAGAAGUCUUAUACAUAUUAGCAAUGUUAUGGUUUGAGAUGUGGACACCCGCAGGAAUUGGUGUGGCGUAAGAAACUCAAACCAUCUUGCAGAAGAUUACACAGUGAAGGAUUGCUGAACAACCUUAGAACUGAUUGAUGAAAAGAGUUGAUGGAAAUUCACAUACAAAGCUACUUUCCUCUUCCAGCUUGGCUUUUCGUCAGCUCUCAGCACUCACAAGCCAUGGAGUAUCUGUUUGUGCUGCAACUGCGUAAGUUGGAUGAAGACAUUUCUUCAGUCUUGAGAACAUAUCAAAGAAGUUAUUGCUCACACAUUGUACAUGCAUUGAGAUGGUUAGUAGUUGCUCCAAAACAGGUAUAUACUUUUACAUUGAGAUAGUAAAAGGUCAAAAAAUGUUAAAUUGUGGUUUUAGUAUUCAGCAGUAAAACUGAGUUCCUCUAAGAUAUUAUAGUUUACAAAUAUUCUACAUGGAACAUGACUCAAGUUUCUUCUCUUCCAGCGAUCUUGGUGUGAUGGUCACUUUGAGGCCGUACUUCAUGUACAAGUUAGUCGUGACUCUCGGGACAAUGACGUGAUCUUGGGCAACCUUGAUUGAGUACCUCAACAAAACUGAAGCAGCUAUCAUCUUCAUCUGCAGGUAAGCAAAUGUUUUUCCUAUGCACAGCCUUGGCCCAGCAUUGAAUACAACGUAUUUGAACUGGUCGUCACUGACAAACUUCCCUGCUUGGAUCCAUCUCUCUGGUCUGAAAACUUCACAAUCUUUUCCCCAGAUUGCUUCCAUCCUUCCCAUGGCAUAGAUUGAGAAGUAAACCCGUGAACCUUUUCUUAUGAAUGUCCCAUCUGGU
rnacentral:lncRNA from 1 species